AUGCCCGCAAAGGAUUUGGAGGAAAUUAAGAAGCAGAUCAAGGAGUUACUGGAUAAAGGCCAUAUUCGCCCAAGUUCGUCACCUUGGGGAUCACCAGUACUUCUAGUGGAGAAGAAAGAUGGAUCAUUAAGGAUGGUUGUUGAUUACCGAGGAUUGAAUGAAGUGACCAUCAAAAACAAGUACCCACUGCCGAUGAUCAAUGAUUUGUUUGACCGCUUGCAAGGAGCUAAAGUAUUUUCCAAGAUCGAUCUACGAUCAGGAUACCAUCAGUUAAAGAUUCGAGAGCAGGAUAUACCCAAGACGGCAUUUACCACCAGAUAUGGAUUGUAUGAGUAUACCGUUAUGUCAUUUGGACUGACUAACGCACCUGCCUAUUUCAUGAACCUGAUGAACAAAGUGUUUAUGGAGUUUUUGGAUAAGUUCAUCGUGGUGUUCAUUGAUGAUAUUUUAAUCUUUUCCAAGAAUGAGGAAGAGCAUGAGGAGCAUUUACGAUUGGUACUUGAGAAGCUCAGAGAACAUCAGUUAUACGCCAAGUUCAGCAAAUGUGAGUUUUGG
rnacentral:rRNA from 1 species